CGAGGCUAGCAAGCCACUCGACGGACUUCCCGUCAACAUGCUGUGGUCGCGGACGCGGUAGUUUGUUGGUCGCCCCUUGAAUCCAUGCAGGAAGGCGUGUCCCUGCAUCAUAAUGUCUCUCUCCGUGAGCAGUAAGAACUGGAAGCCCUCAACGAAAGAAGACGGCGGCGCUCUCAAGGACCGGAGUUCUGGACUCAGUCGGAUCCAGCGGCUUCGGCGGCGACUCAGCUGCAGCUUCGGACGACUCUCGCUGUCCAAGGAGGUGAUCCUGCCCGACUACGACACGGAGAACGAGAAUGUGGCUGUGACACGAGUGACAAUGAACGGCUUCGAGAAGAGUGAGAGUGUGGAGGAUGGGACUCUGGACAAUGCACGCAGCUCAACACCCAACAGCAAUGUAGCCGGCCGAGAGCCCAAUGGCAACCUGAGCCCUGUGUGUGAGGACAAGCUUCACUCUGAGCCCCCGGCGCCCUUGCCACCACCUCGAACCUCCUCUUCGCACAGCUACCUCAACAAAGUCUGCAAAAUGGCUGCCCGAGCUGAAGGCAAAGGUGGAGGCCACUGGCCUCGGCCGGCACCACACAGCAGCAGCUUCGAUGAGUGCACCUCCAUGGAGUACCAGCACAUGGCAGCUGCCCGGAAACCUGCACGGCCCAAAUCUGAAAUCUUCUUCUCACAAGAGAAGGGAUCCAAAACACCCCGAUGUCCUUCCAUGACGUUCGAGGGAAACAUGACCUUUGGUAGGAUAGAAGCCUAUGUACGACUAGAACAACUAGGAGAAGGUUCUUAUGCAACCGUGUACAGAGGUUACAGCAAUCUCAUGGGCAAAGUAGUUGCGCUGAAGGAAAUCCGGCUGCAGCCUGAAGAAGGCACACCUUUCACAGCAAUCAGAGAAGCAUCAUUGUUACGGGGUCUAAAGCAUGCUAAUAUAGUGACACUUCAUGACAUCAUUCACACUAAAGACACACUCACAUUUGUAUUUGAAUAUGUGCACACAGACCUUAGCCAGUACCUUGAGAAGCACCCCGGUGGGCUCAACCCCAAGAACGUCAAGCUUUUCCUAUUCCAGCUCUUGCGUGGUCUGUCCUACUGUCAUGAACGAGUCAUUCUUCACAGAGAUCUGAAACCUCAGAACCUUCUCAUCAGUGAACAGGGGGAGCUGAAACUUGCAGAUUUUGGUCUUGCCAGAGCCAAGUCUGUGCCUAGUCGUACUUACUCGCAUGAAGUGGUCACUUUGUGGUACCGGCCACCUGAUGUGUUGCUUGGAUCAACAGACUACUCAACAUCACUGGACAUGUGGGGAGUGGGCUGCAUAUUCAUUGAGAUGAUCACCGGUGCAGCCGCAUUCCCUGGUGUCAAGGACACAACUGAUCAGCUGGAUAAAAUCUGGAGGAUCCUGGGGACUCCUACUGAGGAAACAUGGGAAGGUGUUUCUCGUUAUAAGAACUACAAACUUCACAAAUUUGGCAUGUACCCAGGCCAGCCCCUAAAACAGGCCUUCCCUAAACUAUCGGAAAUACCACAGGCCGACGAAAUUGCCAACAGAUUCCUCCAGCUUCAGCCACAGAACAGGAUCUCAGCUGUGGAUGCUAUGCGGCACAGCUAUUUUGCAGACAUGCCCCCCAAGGUGUAUGAUCUCCCUGACCAGGCCUCCAUAUUUACAGUUCCUGGUUGCAAACUUAGUCCAGAGACUUACAAUCUCCCCAUGUCUGUGAUCAAGGCAGCGGCCAAACUGCGAUGUUAGCUGUGAUAGGACGUCCCCAUAGCCACCCAGUCUCCACCACCUGGGCGUCGGCACCACAAUAGUCACGCCCUUGGGUCACUUUGUUGAAACGUUGACAGGUUUAUCCCUGGAGCGCUUUUUUCAUUCCUGCCAACCAGACGGGGCAAACGGAGAAGCAGAGACAGCUCGUCCACUGAACUCAAAACAGUUUUUAUGAGUGUCAUCGUGGUCUUGUUGAUUGCCCGCUGAAAACAUUUUUAGAGAGGUAACUUAUUUAAGGACUGCCGAGGCUCGCCAAUGUGUGUGCGUUUGUGUGACUGUGUGCUGAGUGUGUUUUGAUGUGUGAGCAUGUGUUUGUGUUAUUAGCACAAGCUGACAAACCACCCCUUGCUUUUCUUACCGUUGUGGGAUGUCUGGGGUGAUUCGAUAUGUGUUUGCUUCAUGCAGUAAACAUCAGUUGCAGCUUACUGCAGGGCAACAAAUGUGUGACAAUUGCCAGUUUUGUGUGCGUCCCACUUACUCUAUGCUUGUGCUCAUGAGUGAGCCUGAAGUUAUCAACCAUUGCUGUUUCAGUCAGGACUGAGCACAACAAAAAAAAGCCUUCUGCUGUAUUUUCCGACAUACAGGCAAUUCUGUUUAGGGUGUUGGUGCAACCACAUGGCUUUUAAGUUUUUUUAUAUGUACUUUCCCCUCAUAUCUAAAUCCUUGGUGAUAAAGUCUAGAUUUUAGGCUGUUUAUGCAGAUUUUUCAUAUGCCUUUCUAAACGGAAGAUUGGAAUACCAUGAAUUUCAGAGGAAGCACCCCCUUUAGACACAAAAUCAAGGGAAAAUUAGAAACCAUUGCUCGGGUCCACACGCACUCGUGAUGGUAGCAUGGAAAUUUUAAUGAUAUCUGCCACUGGUGAGGGGGAUGCUUGCUCAAAUUCUUGCAGUACUCAAAAAUCGUCAUGUGAGCAAGGAAACCUGCAAUAAUGGCUGGAACUUGCCAACAUUUCACUCCCAUACAAUUAACCACGUGUUCAGAGGCACAUUUAGUAGCAACGUCAAUCUCAGUGGUUAGCUGAUUGAUGUCUCAUUUUUUGAGUUUACGAUGUGAAGUAGGAGAGUAUAUAAGCAGCCCUGCAUGAUUUUUUAAUUAAUACCAUAGGAAGAUAAGAAAUUUGAACAAAGUAAAAAACCAUACAGCAGUCUGGCAGCCACUAGACAUGCAGUUUGCAUUAUUCUGCAGAGGUUCUAUUGCAAUUCAAAGAUCCAGUGCAAGAACAUAGAAGCUGUUAACCCACACAGUGCACUUGAAUGUGAGAGGGCAACCGGUUGAUAGUGCAUUUAAGCUUUGUUUCUGUGUUAAGAGCAUACUGUUCUUAGAAAUGGUGCACUAAAUCUUAUAUCAGUUUGGUCCCACUAUUUCUUAAUUCAGUAUUUGAGGAUCAUUCUUGAUGCAACGGGCAGUUCUCUUUCAUCUUCUUUUGCUCGAAUCUCUUGCUUCCUGCUUGAUUCUUUGUGUGCUCAGUUUCUUUUUUUUUAUAUUUGAAAUAGCAGUUUGAUAUACAGGGCUUGCAGCAACAAGCAAAACAACCAAGUUGAUGCAUUGAGAGUCUUCAGCACUUGAAUGCUCUCUCCCUGUUCCUUGCAUUAGUUUUGCUUAAUUAAGCUCUACCAUACUUUAUCUGGUCAGUGAAGCGCAUGUGCAGUUGGUUUUAGGAGUAGCGGUGCACACCCGGUUGGUGUCAUGAGCCCUAGCGUUUUUCUAUAUGAAUGCACGACCGUCCCCACCAUAGAAGCUCGCUUGCCAAUCUUCCCUUGGAGAGCAAAUCGAUCGAAUUGUUUAUAUGGGGUUGGGUUUCGUUGUUGUUUUUUUCCAAUGUAUCUGUGCCGUCCGUGCAAUUUUCUGGGUUUUCUUUGCACACGCGUGUGUAUGCGCAUGGCAAAUUCUGCUCAUUGCCAUUUUUCGUCUACUGUAUCCGGCCUGUGGAGCCUAGGAGCCUACUUGUUGCUUCUUGAGCAAAGCAGCGUGAGUGUAUUUGCUAGUGGCAUCACUCUCGAUCGAACACCCAUGCAAUUGCUCGCUUGGGCUGCAUUACAUUCAUAGUUACGAGCUGGACUAGGAAAAACCAGACAUUGAAAGGUUCCGCAUCUGGAAACUGCGCUCUUUCGCAGUGAUGGAGUGCAGUGGACAUGCAAGCUGCUGCUAGAGAAAACAAAUAUGUGUCAGCCAGAGUUUAAGCACAAUCUUGUCUACCAAAUCUCACUCACGCACUAAUCAGAGCCAGGUCGUUUUUGCAUUUAUUAAUGUGCCUUCUUUCUUGAAGUACUGUUGUCAAAAAAUAGAGCAGGGGCUUAGAAUUGCAGGAUGCAUAAUUUAGCAUUAAUAUGGUGCACAUCUGAACCUGUUAUAUCGAACCCGGAUACUUUGAAUUUUUCGUCAAGCAGUGGAGCAGUAGUGAGGGAGUGGGGUUGUUUUUGGGCUAGUAUGUGCAUGCAACAACAGAUGCGCAAAAGCAGGCACAAUCACAUGAAGGGAGUGCAGAUAAGUGCAUUGUGCACCAAACUGAAAUGUACAUGCCUAAUAUUUAGUAGAGCAAACAGCCUCCUAUAAUGGCAAGUUUUUUUAGCGUGAGAAUUACAAGUGUUGCCUGUCAUGACAUCUUCGUGCACAAAAGCCACACCCAUGCCAUCUCGGUCUACCGGUUCUGGCCUCAUAACUUAUGAGGGCUAAGUGGAGGAGGUUUCAAGUCAACCUUGCGUCAGUGUGUUUUCACGUGCCCACUUAUUUAUUAUCAAAUUAUUUUGCCAUUUUACAGCGAAGCUGUAUAUGACUAGAAUCCCGGGAUUUCUUCAUCUCCAUAUCAAAAACACAACCAAUCAAAGUGGCAGGAGCGCGCCACAUGCAUCGCUGGGUUUCUUGCAGCACCACCAGAUGGUGCUUGCCUCCGCAAAUAUCUGGUGCCACCCUUCAGAGGAAAGAAAAAGAAAGAACCAGAAGGCUCUCCUUAGUGCAUAGUGUUCACCGCAAGCGUCCCCGUUAAAAAUUUCGGUUGGAUAAGCUGCAGUCCCCGGAAAGCGGCAACAGUAGCAUAUGAAGCAGGGAGUAACUACUCGUCGCUACACUUUGAUAUGUAAAAGAAAAGCCCACAUAGCAAGUAAUUUCAUUUGUGUUGUGAUAGCAUUAUGGAAAGGCCACACAUAGUUGGGACUCCCAAAGAGCAGCUUGAACGCGAUGAAUGGCAACGGGAACAGCAACGUUAAUAUGCACAACUUGACAAUAUGCACAAUGAUGUCAUGCUCAGGCUAGGCUGGAUGCAGCAGUUCCUUCCAAAAGCAAGCCACGCACAGUUAGGACGCCUGAAGAACAGCGCGAAUAUGAUGAACGAUGAAAGAAACGGCAAUGUCAGUAUGCUGAAUGGUGUCGUGCUCAGGCUUGGCAGGACCCAAUUCAAGGCUACGUCACAUUGGUCUGUUGGAUCAGGCAAUACCUCAGCUUCGCUGGCCAACCACCUUCACAGCUUGGAUUGGAGCCCAUUUUUUCUAGAAUUUGGUGCGUCAGGUCUGGAUUCGGCAAUUGGAAACAUGGUUCUGGAAGGUGUGUAAAUCUCUUCUAGCUAACUUAACAGUGGUUGAACAAGGGACAUUGCUGGAGGAAAUAUCUUGACAAGGGGACGUUUUCCUGACAAAGUCCCUUAUCUAAAGGUUGUCUCCAGUGACGUCCCUUGUUCAACCACUGUUGAUCACGUCAAGUCUCAUCUUCCUAUGAACUUAUCUUGUUUGGCUAGCUUAAUUUAGGCACACGACUUAAAGAUAGGGGGGGGGGGGGGGACAUUUUGUGAUUGUGACUCUGCAUCUAGUCAGUUCCAUUCAGAAAAAAGUGGUAUAUCUGAUGAUAAUGCUCCAUCAUUUCUGAGGUGUGGCAAAUGUGGCAAAUUUUUCAUUAACAUAAAACUUGUUGCAGUAACACAUUAAUCUUUAACACUUGGCAUGGAGCACGAUAACUUAGCAAACUUCAUAAUGGAAUUGGCCAUUGAGUGUGAACAGAUUGCAGGAUGGAACAAGUUUCAGUGAAUAACAUUUUCUUAUCAUGUGGCAUGAUUGGAGGCACACCACCUCUGUAAAUACAGGGUUAAAAAUGGCCUCAUGCCAAGUUACUAUGUUUGUAAAAGAAAGGCGUUCGCAAAAGAUUGCUCAGAAAUGUCUUGUCUUGUCCUCAUGCCGGGCCCUUAAUGCCAGAUUAUUUCCGGCAAUUUGAAGUGCAUUUGUGUGCAUCUCUAACAAUUUCAGCCAUAUGGCAGGUGCAUUGAAACACUUCAGCAGAAAAAAAAUGGCUGUUAUGGUAGUUUUUGCUCCUUAAUACAAUGCACUCAGUGGUCAAUGUUUGCAUCCAAACUGUUCACGUGCUGGCUAGAAGUGCACCAUGCAAUGUCUACACUGAUGCAGCCGAGCACUGCUACCAGUCUGUCCAAGAAAAGGCGCAUAUGGUAAUAUUUUGCAUGUCUGAGCCUGAAAGAAGUGUAGGAUAAUCUAACUAUCCAUGGGGAGAUGGAGAGUGCCAUCGCUAUUGUACCCGCCUAAAACAGACCCAAGUGGCCCUUUUGUUGAAUAUAUUAAAUAUAUUUAUUUCAUUUCCUUUUGCUAAGACCAUGUUUGUAACGCUUUAUUUUUCUUGUUUGCUUUCAUUUUGAGGUGCUGUCGGUAAAAGCUGUCCUGCGCAUGCAUUUCGUCGACCGUCCAUUGUAAAGAGAUGCACUCGCGAGAGCUCAUUCAUAAAAGAACCGACCGUUUUCCUCGUUCAUCUUUGCCUGUCAUUUUCCUCCAUGUUCACUUCUAUGCAUGCCUUGGACUGACCACUUCCAUGGGCUAUUGUCACUGCCUUCGCACCACACCCAAAAGCAUUACGGGCACCUGCACUGUGCAACAUCUACAUUGUCUCUAGUCCCAGUUUUUGUUGAAGCCUCUCUCAGACUUCCAUUGCACAAAUGCAAUUCAAAUGACAUCAUCCCCUGACAUGGUGGUACCUGGCCUGCCUGCUUCAGAUUGAAUGGGCAGCUGUUUCUAACCCAUUUGCCCCUUUUCACAGGAAGUUAAUUGUGUUGUACACUUUCACCUCAGCAGCAAAGUUGGGUGUUAUCUCAGUGGUCUUCUUGAGACUAAUUCUCAAUAUUGAGGCAGGGAAGCCUAUCCUAUGGUCACUCACCAGCGGUUCAUAAUGUCACUGCAAUUAAAUGGUAGCGCUAUGUGUCACUGCUAUGGCGAAACACUUCGUGCAGUAACACCAUCGUUGUGUUGCAGAGAAAUCGGCAUCUUUUGAGCCAUGUCGACACACGCAUGAAUUGGCGUUGCUUCAGGCAGAAUAUGCCAGCAAAUAUGCUCCUCUUGUUCAUGCAUCAACACUCGGAUGCACCACAUCGGUCUUAUAAAAUAUUUCAUCACUCAACGCAUCCUACAUGCGUGAGCUUCUCAUAGCUAAACUUCACUUUCACUUACCUGUUUGACAACUCUGCAUGCCUCCAUCAGGAACAAUGGCUGCAUUGACGUCAAAGAAUUCAACAGAGCUCAUAGCUUCUGUGGGUAACCUACUUCGCUUCAGAAUUCAAAUAGCCCUUUUUUUCUCUCUCUCUUCCUGGUUGACACCCUGUCACAUGAGCACUGCAACAUCAAUCACUUGAUUAGGAGACUUCAUGGCAACUAAUUGUCAGGAGAGCCAUGGGACCUGUUGUGACAUUAAGGCACUGGCAGUAUAGGGGCAGAAUAGCUGUAUGGAUCGAGAAGCAGGCAGAAUGGAAAGCCGCAGCUCCCCCGGGUGCAAACUUAAAGACCAUGAAAAGACUGUGCGGUCACUAGUCGCAUUCACUUUUUUUGUACAUGGGUUCUGGCGCCAAGUCUGUGCCAGUGCCAUUAUCCCAAUCUGUUAAUGUGAAUCUCGGGGUGUUAUUCUCAACCAUGUCAAACUUCAGCUUCUUGUCAAAUCUGUGGUGCAAGCAGUUAUAAUCGUUCUCCUCCGCAUGUUGUGAAACACUUGUGAUAAAUGUGACCAAGUAUCACAUAGGGCGCAACUUUCAUAUGACAUUAAAUUACCUUUUGGGGUGGCAGAACUCCCGUGUACCGUGCAUUGUGUGCAUGUUAAAGAACCCCAG
rnacentral:misc_RNA from 1 species